CAAACACACACACAUCAAGCAUUUCCCUGUGUGCUGUGUUUUAACCCUUCAAAUCCCUGACAGAACUGUGGGGCAAUUACCCAGCCUCAAUUCCUUCUGGGACAAGCAAAAGCAAUUCUUCCCUGAAGCCACACAAUGGUAGUGUGGGAUUAAGACUGAAUUACACAAAAAGUACCAAGUGGAAAGAACAUAGCAGUGAAUCUGAUGAAUAUUUUGUUAAACUGGUGUCAAGACCUCCUGAUUCAAUCCUGAACUCUCUUCUCUGGGACUUUUGAAGACAGACAACAGACACUUCUUACACAACAACCUCAACUCUUUAAAGGGUGGCAGCUGGUCACAGCUCAGCAUGUGAAACUCUGAAGGAUCCCGUGGAGAAACUGG